GUGCCAGCCGCCGCGGUAAAACGUAGGUGGCGAGCGUUAUCCGGAUUUACUGGGCGUAAAGCGUGUGCAGGCGGGAUACCAAGUGGUGUAUGAAAGCACUGCGCUCAACGCAGUGACGGUAGGCCAGACUGGUAUUCUGGAGGGCGAGAGAGGGGCGUGGAAUUCCGGGUGUAGUGGUGAAAUGCGUAGAGAUCCGGAGGAACCCCAGAGGCGAAGGCGGCGCCCUGGCUCGCACCUGACGCUCAGACACGACAGCAUGGGGAGCGAACGGGAUUAGAAACCCCGGUAGUCC
rnacentral:rRNA from 1 species